GCAAGCCCGGACCAUGGCCAGGGCGCUGCGACCAUCCCCAAUGAGAGUCAGCCCUCUCCCAGGACAGCAAGCAGGCCGGAUUCCUGGCAGAGUUAACAACGAUUACCUGGUCUUUUUCGGGGAUGGUGGCAAAUUUACUUCCA